CGAGGCUCUAUACAGGGGGUAGCAGUACAGAGUCAAUGUGGAGGCUAUAUACAGGGGGUACUGGUACAGAGUCAAUGUGGAGGCUAUAUACAGGGGGUACUGGUACAGAGUCAAUGUGGAGGCUAUAUACAGGGGGUGCCGGUACCGAGUCAAUGUGGAGGCUAUAUACAGGGGGUACCGGUACAGAGUCAAUGUGGAGGCUAUAUACAGGGGGUACCGGUACAGAGUCAAUGUGGAGGCUAUAUACAGUGGGUACCGGUACAGAGUCAAUGUGGAGGCUAUAUACAGGGGGUACCGGUACAGAGUCAAUGUGGAGGCUAUAUACAGGGGGUAGCAGUACAGAGUCAAUGUGGAGGCUAUAUACAGGGGGUACUGGUACAGAGUCAAUGUGGAGGCUAUAUACAGGGGGUACUGGUACAGAGUCAAUGUGGAGGCUAUAUACAGGGGGUGCCGGUACCGAGUCAAUGUGGAGGCUAUAUACAGGGGGUACCGGUACAGAGUCAAUGUGGAGGCUAUAUACAGGGGGUACCGGUACAGAGUCAAUGUGGAGGCUAUAUACAGGGGGUACCGGUACAGAGUCAAUGUGGAGGCUAUAUACAGGGGGUACCGGUACAGAGUCAAUGUGGAGGCUAUAUACAGGGGGUACCGGUACAGAGUCAAUGUGGAGGCUAUAUACAGGGGGUACCGGUACAGAGUCAAUGUAGAGGCUAUAUACAGGGGGUACCGGUACCGAGUCAAUGUGGAGGCUAUAUACAGGGGGUACCGGUACAGAGUCAAUGUGGAGGCUAUAUACAGGGGGUACCGGUACAGAGUCAAUGUGGAGGCUAUAUACAGGGGGUACCGGUACAGAGUCAAUGUGGAGGCUAUAUACAGGGGGUACCGGUACAGAGUCAAUGUGGAGGCUAUAUACAGGGGGUACCGGUACAGAGUCAAUGUGGAGGCUAUAUACAGGGGGUACCGGUACAGAGUCAGAGUCAAUGUGGAGGCUAUAUACAGGGGGUACUGGUACAGAGUCAAUGUGGAGGCUAUAUACAGGGGGUACCGGUACAGAGUCAAUGUGGAGGCUAUAUACAGGGGGUACCGGUACAGAGUCAAUGUGGAGGCUAUAUACACGGGGUACCGGUACAGAGUCAGAGUCAAUGUGGAGGCUAUAUACAGGGGGUACCGGUACAGAGUCAAUGUGGAGGCUAUAUACAGGGGGUACCGGUACAGAGUCAAUGUGGAGGCUAUAUAAAGGGGCUACCGGUACAGAGUCAAUGUGGAGGCUAUAUACAGGGGGUACCGGUACCGAGUCAAUGUGGAGGCUAUAUACAGGGGGUGCCGGUACCGAGUCAAUGUGGAGGCUAUAUACAGGGGGUACCGAUACAGAGUCAGAGUCAAUGUGGAGGCUAUAUACAGGGGGUACCGGUACAGAGUCAAUGUGGAGGCUAUAUACAGGGGGUACCGGUACAGAGUCAAUGUGGAGGCUAUAUACAGGGGGUACCGGUACAGAGUCAAUGUGGAGGCUAUAUACAGGGGGUACCGGUACAGAGUCAAUGUGGAGGCUAUAUACAGGGGGUACCGGUACAGAGUCAAUGUAGAGGCUAUAUACAGGGGGUACCGGUACCGAGUCAAUGUGGAGGCUAUAUACAGGGGGUACCGGUACAGAGUCAAUGUGGAGGCUAUAUACAGGGGGUACCGGUACAGAGUCAAUGUGGAGGCUAUAUACAGGGGGUACCGGUACAGAGUCAAUGUGGAGGCUAUAUACAGGGGGUACCGGUACAGAGUCAAUGUGGAGGCUAUAUACAGGGGGUACCGGUACAGAGUCAAUGUGGAGGCUAUAUACAGGGGGUACCGGUACAGAGUCAGAGUCAAUGUGGAGGCUAUAUACAGGGGGUACUGGUACAGAGUCAAUGUGGAGGCUAUAUACAGGGGGUACCGGUACAGAGUCAAUGUGGAGGCUAUAUACAGGGGGUACCGGUACAGAGUCAAUGUGGAGGCUAUAUACAGGGGGUACCGGUACAGAGUCAGAGUCAAUGUGGAGGCUAUAUACAGGGGGUACCGGUACAGAGUCAAUGUGGAGGCUAUAUACAGGGGGUACCGGUACAGAGUCAAUGUGGAGGCUAUAUACAGGGGGUACCGGUACAGAGUCAAUGUGGAGGCUAUAUAAAGGGGCUACCGGUACAGAGUCAAUGUGGAGGCUAUAUACAGGGGGUACCGGUACAGAGUCAAUGUGGAGGCUAUAUACAGGGGGUAGCAGUACAGAGUCAAUGUGGAGGCUAUAUACAGGGGGUACUGGUACAGAGUCAAUGUGGAGGCUAUAUACAGGGGGUACUGGUACAGAGUCAAUGUGGAGGCUAUAUACAGGGGGUGCCGGUACCGAGUCAAUGUGGAGGCUAUAUACAGGGGGUACCGGUACAGAGUCAAUGUGGAGGCUAUAUACAGGGGGUUCCGGUACAGAGUCAAUGUGGAGGCUAUAUACAGGGGGUACCGGUACAGAGUCAAUGUGGAGGCUAUAUACAGGGGGUACCGGUACAGAGUCAAUGUGGAGGCUAUAUACAGGGGUACCGGUACAGAGUCAAUGUGGAGGCUAUAUACAGGGGGUACCGGUACAGAGUCAAUGUGGAGGCUAUAUACAGGGGGUACCGGUACAGAGUCAAUGUGGAGGCUAUAUACAGGGGGUACCGGUACAGAGUCAAUGUGGAGGCUAUAUACAGGGGGUACCGGUACAGAGUCAGAGUCAAUGUGGAGGCUAUAUACAGGGGGUACUGGUACAGAGUCAAUGUGGAGGCUAUAUACAGGGGGUACCGGUACAGAGUCAAUGUGGAGGGUAUAUACAGGGUGUACCGUACAGAGUCAAUGUGGAGGCUAUAUACAGGGGGUACCGGUACAGAGUCAGAGUCAAUGUGGAGGCUAUAUACAGGGGGUACCGGUACAGAGUCAAUGUGGAGGCUAUAUACAGGGGGUACCGGUACAGAGUCAAUGUGGAGGCUAUAUAAAGGGGCUACCGGUACAGAGUCAAUGUGGAGGCUAUAUACAGGGGGUACCGGUACCGAGUCAAUGUGGAGGCUAUAUACAGGGGGUACCGGUACAGAGUCAAUGUGGAGGCUAUAUACAGGGGGUACCGAUACAGAGUCAGAGUCAAUGUGGAGGCUAUAUACAGGGGGUACUGGUACAGAGUCAAUGUGGAGGCUAUAUACAGGGGGUACCGGUACUGAGUCAAUGUGGAGGCUAUAUACAGGGGGUACCGGUACAGAGUCAAUGUGGAGGCUAUAUACAGGGGGUACCAGUACCGAGUAA
rnacentral:lncRNA from 1 species